CAGGCUCUAUGGGUUUAUUCCGCCGUCCCGGUACCGGCACCGAGCGCUGCCAGCCCACGUCGGAGACACGAACCGAGCCGUCCCGCCCCGCUGCAGCCCAACCCCGCCCCGCAGCCCCGAGCAAAGCACCGAAAUCAUCCGAACAUCUCCAACUUUAUUGGCGUUACACAGCCCGGAACCGGCCCGGUGCGGCGGGACGGGCCCCCCCCACGGUCCCGCGGCGUCCGGUCGGUUCGUCCGCACGGUCCCGGUUCGGUCCCGGUUCGGUGCCGGUUCUACUUGGACCUUUGUCUCAUCUUCCUCCUCUUGCGCUUCAGCCUAAAGGGACAAAGCGGCGUCACAGCGCGGGGUGGCGCUGACAGCCCGGUACCGGGUCCGGUUCCGGUUCCGUUCCCGGUUCCGGUUCUGGUCCCGGUUCCGUUUCCGGUUCCCGUUCACACGUACCUGCGCAUUCGCUUCUUACGCCACUGCGGAGGGAGAAAAGCAGCGGGCUUGCUGUACAACAGAGGUACCCCUGGAUGCUCUCAGCCUGCACCCACCCACUGGGACAUCACAUCAUCACAACCAUAGGAAGAAAAGAGCCCAGCAUCCCAGCAUCGAGCAGCUCUCCAUCCCUCCAGCCCAACCUGCUUCCUCAGAAGAUGAAAGGAAAUGCCUUUAGAGCAGAAUGAGCAUUGCCAGCCGCUGGAGGAAUGGUGGUAAGUCCUAAUGGGUAUUGUGACAGAUGGGGAAUGCCACAGCAUCGCGCUCUGCUGAGGCACGAGGCCUUGAGGCCAGCUGUCCAGGCUUCUCAGUGACUCUUAGGAAAGGGCUGGGUACUGCUAUCACAAGCAAAAACUUGUGUUUGAUGCAGGAAAUAGGAGCCCAGCCUGGUUUAAAGUACAUUCUUGGGGCUGUGGGAUUACAAUGAGCCACUGACUUGCACCAUGACCUACUGCUGUCCUUGGGCGUGCAGGAAACUCAGCUGUAAGGGCUGUGCUUUUGCUUUUCAAGCUCCUGCCUCAAAGCAGACUUCUGGAUUUGACUCCCCUUCAUACCGAGCAGUACAAACAGAUUGACCCAUGCAAUGCACUACACCUAUUUCUAUGUUGAUAUUUGUUUUCAAACCAACCUUCAGCUCUCCAUCUUGCACCUCAAACUCCGACUUGUAGAGCUCAGGUUCGAAGGGGCCGCUGGUUAUCCUCAUAGGACCGUUAGGCAUUAAAAGCACUGUGAAUUUGAACUGUGCAACAAACUCUCCUGCAAAGCAGAAACAGGCAUUACUGAACUCCCUGCUAAGCAAACCCAGAGGGCUUCAGCCAUUAGUCUCUCCUGUCUGGGGAAUUACUCUAUGAGAAAUCCCAACUAAGCACUGGAAUGACUCCAAAACAAGACCCAGAAUCCAACAGGUAGUUGAGUUUCCUGGAGGACGGAUGCCAGGGCCCUCAAAGCAUCUCUCUGGCUGGCACUGAAACAGCAGCAGUCAGCACGAGGCUGGGGGAAGUGCUGAACACCAGUUCCCAUCCAGCUCCCAUCCCUCCCCUCAGCAGCACUCACCUUCCUUUUCGUAGAGGACGUUGAAGGGCUGGAGCAGCUCAUGUUUGGCGCAUUCCACCACCCCCAUCCUGGCCUUCUUCUCAUCUUCAAAUGCCCUGCAGAGGAAUGGGAGACACAGCUGAGGCAGAUUCCACCCCAUAGGCUUCAGAGCUGCCCCUGGGCUCAAGCUGGAGACUGUUUACUUUACGUCCCUCUUGCCCAGCAGUGCUGCUGUCAGAACAGGGAACUGCUGGAAGAACUAUUGCCUUCAGAGAGCAGACAAGACAAGUGGAUUUAAGGACGGAAAGAGGCUGUCAAGCCAACGCUGUUUCCUUAUUUUCAGAGUGAAUGCUUAGAAAAACUGACUGGAUCUGCCUCUUCAUGCUGCAAACCCGAUAGCAUUUUAUUUUAACCACAACUCCAGGCUCUUCACCUGCCACUAAAGGCACAGGAGAUUCUCCUGUCCUCAUAACUGUGCCCGGGAUUCCAGCUUAAGCCUGUAACUUCCUUCCUCCACCCACUCUGAGGCUCAAAUACAGCAAACCACAACAUAAAGCAGCAAUGCUGCCUCCACCUCUGCGGUAGAUAAUCAAUCAAAUCACUUUUGCUGUCAGCACAGUCUGUAAGCUCAUGCAAAGCAUCCAGCUCAGAGCACACGAGGAGGUGACGAAUAAAAGCAAAUACCUGAGAGUAAAUGGCAUAGUAUCAAAGCGCCUCUCCACCUCACUGAAAAAGGCACGGGAGGUUUUCAUCUUCAAACCAUACUGUUUGGAGGGGUCCCUUUUGUAAAUUGUAGUUCUCUGCCCAGCGUCCUUUGCCUGAAAACACAAACGGAGGUGAGAGCAGGGAAGGAGCAGAGCAGCACAUCCUCAAGUAUAUCAACCAGCAGCCCAUGUAAGUCAGGGCAGUUCCGUCUGACAAGAGCUGUAUUCUGACACACCUUAAUUCUGAUGGAAAAAAUCUACCCCUAAAAUGGCACAGAGGUUCCCUGCUGGGAUUGGCACGUAGAAUGAUCCAGCCAUGAGCACCACUCAUGGGUGAUGACUGGAAAUGUGCUGCUUUGACCACCAGGACUCACCUUUCCCUCCCCACUGCUGACAAGAACAUCAACAGCGUAAACUUCGUGAACCUCAAAUUCUGCUUUUUCGUGGUCCUUCCUGGAAGAAAGAGGUUUGGUGAGUCAAAGAAUGGGAAGGAGAGAAGACAAAACCUUUGUGGCUACAAAGCCCACGCUGAGCUUAGCCAGAGGGUGAAUGGGCACAAAGCAGUGCUAGGGUGACACAAAGCAACCAGGACCUUAACCAGAAGAGCAAAAGCUGGCACAGAAGUUGAAGACUUGCAUGUCAGGCACUAGAGCUGGUCAGUGACAAGCUGGCAGAGAAAAACAAUGACAAACCAGUGGUGUUCUUGCCCAUAACAAGUCACUCCAUCCCCAGUGAAUGGGGGGAGGUCUCUGAUACUCUCAGCACCAGCUCUGUGAACUUGUGGUCACAUCCUAGGCAGACCAAGGGCCCACCACACCUGGCUUAUCACUAUACCUGAGACCUUGGAAGCCAAGCUCUGGAUUAAACCACUGAGCUCUGAAUACGCAGCUUGAGACUCUGCCCUGACUGCAUCCCUGAGGGGGAGAAGAUGCUGGAACAGAACAGAGUGACACGUCCUGCUCAUUAGCUCAGAAUCAUCCUGCCAUCCCGCUGACAGCGAUCACCCUCCAGUGGGCUCCUGGCAGCUUCUGUGAGACAACAGCAGGCCUUGGCAGGCCUCCUGGGGAACGAGCAUCCACUGUUACAGCCAGCAGUCAUUGGUUAUUUUGCUGGCAGCCCCCAAGGCUGUGAUUUACUGAUGGAGACUCCUUCGAGAAACUGGACAGCAACCAAGAACACCUGCAGGUGCCAGCAGUCCCAUGCCACUGACUUUCAGUCUUUCUUUCUCAGAACAAACCCCAAGCACAGAAGCCACAGCUUGUGUUCAGGCAAACAAGGUACAGGGGGAGCGAAUCCAUUCUGGGUCAGACUUCAAUCAAGAGGCAGCACAGAGAGCAGCCUUCCCUGGUGAAAUUCUGCCACGGUGGCACUCGGCCACUAGGUGCAAACAUACCUGCUCCACCCCCACUCGAUAUCACGGCCAAGAAAGUGAGAAAUAGGAUCAGAAUCCCAGCCCUAGCCCCACCCCUCCCACACACUGGAGAAAGCUCCAGAGGUGAUGCUCACUUUUGCUGGUCUGUAGGGUUCUGGAUGAUUGUUUUCUCCCCAUCGAUCACGUGCUGCUUCAGCUGGUGUGACAGCAUCCCUGCCGAGAUAAAAGAAUCCAUUAACACCUCAGAGCUGCAAACCAGCUACAUGGGGGCUUGCAUCAUUAACACUUCAGCGCUCAGGGCUGCAGCCUUCAGCUGGAGCCAACUGUUGAGCAAACUGUCUUGGGUGUUAGAGCUUCCUUAGCUUUACUGUUGUAGACAGAUAUGGAGCUCCCCAAAGCCCGCCCUGACUUCAGGGUUGCUUUGUCUCCUCAGCAGGAGAAGCUGCAAGCAGCCAGGGAGGAGCUGCUGCUUAACAAAGCAACUUGGAACACAUUGGACGUGAACCUCCAAGCACAUACGUUGCACACUUGGGUGUCAAAUUAAUGGAGACUUCAGGUCCUCUCACCAGUGUCUCAGCACUCAAAGCUCAUUUUGUGGGGCUGAACUCACUUUUCCUUUCUGCUCUGUGGUUCACUUCCAAACUGAAGCCUAGCCCAUGUCUCAGGCCACAGCCUGGCCAUAUACAUGUGUCCCUAUUCAGGAAGGACAGUGUGAGCCCCCACGCCAGCAGCUCUGUUUGUUUCCAUCAGCUGGGGCCUAAAGUUGCUGCCACUGCCUGGAUAAUUACAGCACUUGGCUGUUUCCAAAACAGUGGCUGCUCAAAAUCCCUUGACAGCGCGAGCAGCCGCCUCCUCAUUGCAGCUCAUGCCAUGCUUUUUCACAUAGAAAGGAGCAAAGCAUUGAAGAGACCCACAAAGCCAUCCCACACAAGAACAGGGAGCUGACGUUCCAGGGCUGGGUCAAGGCGAGCAAAGACACCGAGCCAGCUUUACAGCACUUCAGGAAAUUGAAUUAACAGCAGACUGGUCUAAUUGUGGCUAAUCAGUGAUGUCACUGAUUGGGAGAAAGGCAUCUGCACAUGCCAAUGUCACGCUGAGCCCUCUCAGCACCUCUUAAACAAGAGCUCAGCAUUCUCAGUUCUACAAGGAGCUGUCCCAGGGCCUCCCCACCCACCCCUUAUCAACAAUGUGAAGAAAAAACAAAUCAGUUUCUGGUUGUAAGGGAGGAAAUUACAUACCCUGCACAUCUAUGGGCAUCUUUUGCGAUGGAUCCUGCAUUACAAACAAGCUUUUAUGUAUUCAUAGAAGGGGUUUUAACUACAUGUGGUCAGGGCUGAAGCAAAGGGCCAAGAGAUUGGCAUGAGGUCAAUGGGAGAUCCAAAAGCUGGAAUGCCAACUGCUAUUCCUGGAAACCGACAUCUACUGUUUCUACAUGAACACACCUUUUAAACAUAAUACAGAGGGGAAAGAAGAAUCUAUGGUUUUGAAAGGGUUCUAUAGCAAAGGCUGCUGUGUUUAGAGGUGGCACACAUAGAACCUGUAGUCAGGAAAUGCUCCCCAGAGUUUGAAUGGGGGCAGAUGAGAACUGAGUGUGCGAUUAAAACAUUGCUGCUCUGGAUCAGCUGCUCCCCAGCCCUUACCUUCAAUGGGUGUGCAGUGAAACGAGUGGGCUAUUUUGUUCCACGCGUCUGUCACUUGUGUAUUCUGGAUGAAGAACACAUGUAAACACAUUAAGGGUUUAGAAAUCAAACCAGAAGCACGACUGUUAACUUUCACCUGGCAGGGUUUGGUGAUAAAACCAAGUGGUGCUCUGACACCUCCAAAAAAAGGAGGAAUGGUGGCAGGCUUCCAUUUUUAAUCCCCCAUCAAUAAAAAUAACGUGGAACAUGA